UAACGCGUGAGGAACCUGCCUCAAAGAGGGGACGAACAGUUGGAAACGACUGCUAAUACCGCAUAAGCCCACAGCUCGGCAUCGAGCAGAGGGAAAAGGAGUGAUCCGCUUUGAGAUGGCCUCGCGUCCGAUUAGCUAGUUGGUGAGGUAAUGGCCCACCAAGGCGACGAUCGGUAGCCGGACUGAGAGGUUGAACGGCCACAUUGGGACUGAGACACGGCCCAG
rnacentral:rRNA from 1 species